ensembl:lncRNA
GGUUAACUUGCCAAAACCCCCAGAAAUGCCUCUGGCUCUUGAUCAAUGGCAACUGGAGGGAGGAUGGUCAGCACUCUCAAUACAAGAAAAGCAAUGGUUUUCUUUACCAAUGGAGUAGGCACAGGGGAUAAAGUGACUAGACAAUGGACACCACAGCCUAUUACCCUUAUACAAAUACUACAAUUUCCAUUAAGGCGGUAGACAAAAAUGCCCAAUGGACCACGCUGUAUUCAGUAGUCUGAGAAAUAGAGAAUGCCUUUGACAAACAUUUUUCUAAGGUUCAUAUUUUCACUGACUCCUAGUCAGUGGGCUGACUACUUCAUCAAAACUUUAACAAACUCAGGGCUGGAAAAUAGAAGGCUGAGACAUUUGGAAUAAGUCAACAUGGAGAAAAUGAUCAUAUUAGCCCUCAUUCUUCCCAUCUUAGUACACCAUACCUCAGGUUUCACCAAACAAAACAUGGAGGAGGCACAGAACAACACCAAUGCUGACUAAAUAAACCACCAAAGAGGUUUAAGCCUCUUGAAAGAGCGGGAGAUCCCAAAACUUUGGGAUGAGCCACCCUACUUUAUUAUCAAUGGACACAUUAGAAGUAGGGGCAUUUGGGCAUCAUUGGGUUGUAAAAAUUGAUUGUUCAUAGAGGAAUCAACCUGGCAGAGAGACAUUUGCAUAAAGCCAUUAGGGACUCUAUCACAUGCCAGAAAUCUAGACACUUAGAUGUGCUGCAUAGGAGGAGAAAUUUAGAGAAGGGCCACAUCAGAACUGUCAAAUCAACUUCACUGGGCCUCUCUCUGAAGAAGCAGAACCUAUUAAACCUUAACUAUGGUAGAUACAUACACAGACUUACUAUUGGCUUACCUAUGUAAGGCAUCAACCUAUGCUAAUAUAAAGACUCCCAAUUCUCUGCAAAGCAAGCACAACAUGGGCCUUAAAAAAGAACAUCACUUGGAUAUUUUUACCUAGUCUAUGAUCCUAUACUAGCCAGUAUCAAGAAUGACAUAAUAGGCUUUAAAACAAGGGCAACUGAGAGAACUUGCAGGACAAUAGCAUCCCAAAAGGUCAAAAAUGCUGCCCACAGUCAUGGUUAAGUUAAAGCCAUGCCCCAAUGUCACAACUAUACCAUAUUUAAAUUCACAACAAAUAAGGAGAUCCCCACCAAAAGAGAUGCUGCACCCUCUGUUGGUAUAUGUACCCACACUGGACACAACAUGAUUACCCCUUUUAAUGUAAAUGGGAGCCCUGACAUAACAACCCUCAGCAAAGAAAUAUCUACCUAGUACCUUCAACUUCUCCUUCUACCUUAUAGAAAAUCCAGAGCUUGUCCAUUUCUUCAUCAAUCUUGACAAGGACCUGGCAUGGACCACUAACUCUAAGUCUAUUCUAAGUCUGCAUCUGCUUGUCAUCCAGCAUAAUCUAAGCAAAUCACCCACAUUAUCUGAAGAGAGAACAGUCUUCAAUUUCCACCCAUGUACUUUGCUCCAUUAAAGGCUCUGUGGAACAAGCCUUGACCUGCUCCUGCCACCCAGCAGGUGGAACUAAUCACCCCUGGACUGCGUAUCACAAUUUAGGUGAUCCCUAGGGUAAAAUCAGAUCCCCUCGAG